AGAAGAUUAUCAAGGUUAUCUGUGCUCAAUGUGUGCAUCUCAGAUCAGCAGCAUCAGCAUCACCUGGGAGCUUGUUAGAGAUGGAGACUCUCAGGCUCCACGGCAGACUUCCUGAAUCAGAAGCUACAAUUUAACAGGAUCCUCGGGUGAUCUGAAAAUGCAAUAAAGUUUGGGAAGCACUGCUGUUGGUCAUUAGACAAUCUAAUGAACUAAGACUUUUGCCGAGCAUCUGAGUUGAAAUUUUUCAAGAUGAAAAGUUGCUAAAGAAAGAGAAAGGGAAGCGGUUUGCUCCAGUAUUCCUCUUUCUACCUUCCCACUGACUGGGAAGCAGCAGUUAGCAGAGCCACAGCCUUGGAUUAGAGAUAAGAGGGACGUGUUGAGGAAGGUGGAGUCUCCCCCACAGCCCUGGACCAGUGGCAACCAGGUCUGUGCAUAAUCUAGAGAUCAAAUUGUUCCUGAUUCUCAAUCUCUGAUGAGCUAUGCCACGCUUAGAAGGUGGACAAGCGGUGCAUCUUGAUGUGGAAAACAGGUUUUUCUUUACAUUUUCUCAAUCCUAGGAAGAAUGGACAUCACAAGGAACUGCCAAGUACGGAAUCCCUGUAUUCUAGGAUUUGGCAAGCUGUCCACUGAAACAUUAUUUUUCCCAGCCUUGUUUGCAGAGAAAUUAGUUGAUAACGUCUUCCAGGAGACCUACGGCCAUCCUACUGAUAUGAACCAGAUCAUACCUGCCCUGAUGGGAUGCCAGAGAAAGACUGCUGCAAGGUACUCGCCACUCACAGACGCCUCCAUUUAUCUCACUGAUGCAAAGGACCCUGAGGUAAUUUUUGAAAACAUUUUUUCCCAUCUUAAGAAGAUAAAUGAAAUGAAUUGA
rnacentral:lncRNA from 1 species